rnacentral:rRNA from 1 species
GACGAACGCUGGCGGCGUGCUUAACACAUGCAAGUCGAACGGAAAGGCCCUGCUUUUGUGGGGUUCUCGAGUGGCGAACGGGUGAGUAACACGUGAGUAACCUGCCCUUGACUUUGGGAUAACUUCAGGAAACUGGGGCUAAUACCGGAUAGGAGCUCCUGCUGCAUGGUGGGGGUUGGAAAGUUUCGGCGGUUGGGGAUGGACUCGCGGCUUAUCAGCUUGUUGGUGGGGUAGUGGCUUACCAAGGCUUUGACGGGUAGCCGGCCUGAGAGGGUGACCGGCCACAUUGGGCCUGAGAUACGGACCAGACUCCUACGGGAGGCAGCAGUGGGGAAUAUUGCACAAUGGGCGGAAGCCUGAUGCAGCAACGCCGCGUGCGGGAUGACGGCCUUCGGGUUGUAAACCGCUUUCGCCUGUGACGAAGCGUGAGUGACGGUAAUGGGUAAAGAAGCACCGGCUAACUACGUG